GACGAACGCUGGCGGCGUGCUUAACACAUGCAAGUCGAGCGGUAAGGCCCUUUCGGGGGUACGACGAGCGGCGAACGGGUGAGUAACACGUGGGUGACCUGCCCUCCAGCUCUGGGAUAAGCCCGGGAAACGUGGGUCUAAUACCGGAUAUGACUCCAUGACGCAUGUUGUGGGGUGGGAAAGCCUUGUGCGGCUGAGGAUGGGCCCGCGGCCUAUCAGCUUGUUGGUGGGGUGAUGGCCACCAAGGCGACGACGGGUAGCCGGCCUGAGAGGGCGACCGGCCACACUGGGACUGAGAUACGGCCCAGACUCCUACGGGAGGCAGCAGUGGGGAAUCUUGCGCAAUGGGCGAAAGCCUGACGCAGCGACGCCGCGUGAGGGAUGACGGCCU
rnacentral:rRNA from 1 species